ACCUACCAAGGCCACGAUGUCUUUGGGUCCUGAGAGGGUGAUCCCCCACACUGGUACUGAGACACGGACCAGACUCCUACGGGAGGCAGCAGUGAGGAAUAUUGGUCAAUGGGCGCAAGCCUGAACCAGCCAUCCCGCGUGAAGGAAGAAUGCGCUAUGCGUUGUAAACUUCUUUGCCAGGGGAAUAAAAUCCUGAACGUGUUCGGGACUGAAGGUACCCUGGGAAUAAGCAUCGGCUAACUCCGCUACAGCAGCCGCGGUAAUACGGAGGAUGCGAGCGGUAUCCGGAUUCAUUGGGUUUAAAGGGUGCGUAGGCGGAUCAAUAAGUCAGUGGUGAAAACCUGCAGCUUAACUGUAGACGUGCCAUUGAUACUGUUGGUCUUGAGUAUGGUCAAGGUAGGCGGAAUGUGUAAUGUAGCGGUGAAAUGCUUAGAUAUUACACAGAACACCGAUUGCGAAGGCAGCUUACUGGGCCAUUACUGACGCUGAUGCACGAAAGCGUGAGGAGCAAACAGGAUUAGAUACCCUGGUAGUCCACGCCGUAAACGAUGAUCACUCGCUGUUAGCGAUACACAGUUAGCGGCUAAGCAAAAGCAUUAAGUGAUCCACCUGGGUAGUACGGCCGCAAGGCUGAAACUCAAAGGAAUUGACGGGGGCCCGCACAAGCGGAGGAACAUGUGGUUUAAUUCGAUGAUACGCGAGGAACCUUACCUGGGCUUAAAUGUAGACUGCAUUCAUGGGAAACCAUGAUUUCCUUCGGGACUGAUUGCAAGGUGCUGCAUGGUUGUCGUCAGCUCGUGCCGUGAGGUGUCGGAUUAAGUUCCAUAACGAGCGCAACCCUUAUCGUUAGUUGCCAGCGGGUCAAGCCGGGGACUCUAGCGAAACUGCCGGUGUAAACCGAGAGGAAGGUGGGGAAGUUUUCAAAUCAGCAAUGAAGUCGU
rnacentral:rRNA from 1 species